rnacentral:lncRNA from 1 species
UAGAACAGCACUCAUGUAUGCUGUUCAAUGUGAUUCUGAAGCCAUUGUCAAGCAAUUACUGGAGAAAGGUGUUGAUCAUUCCUUAAAGGAUGCAUUUGGAUGGAGUGCACUUCAGUAUGCAGUGGCAGGGAAACGCAAAGUAAGGAGUUUAAUUUUGGACUAUGAGGACUCACUCCUCUUAGGUCAGCACCAUAUCUUCUCAGCCUCUUUGCAUUUGUAUACAGUGG